CCCUCUUUUGGUAUCUUCUGGUGAGCUCAACCCAAGGGUCCUACCAAGAUCAGGCUGGAUAAGAUGUUCAGAUAAUCAGCUUUCCAGUGAAGUCACGAACUUGCUGAAGCUGUCUGCUUCAUAAACCACACUGGUUUAUGCAAUUGUAGUCUGAAUGCUCAUGACUCUUCCCUGGAAGACCAGUGCAGACUGCUGAUCAGGAUGAAGGAAGCUGCUGUUGCACUCAUUCUGGAUGCAGAAAAUGAGGAUAUUGCCCAAGUUUGUUCUGAGGGAUGGAGAACCCACCGGAGAGUUCUAAAAAAAAAAAGUUGUGCAAUGAAAGAUAGGCUGGCACUAUUUUGCCUUAUGAAAGUUUCUCUUAACGUCUUCUUGAAUUUUUCCUCUGGAUCUUUAAAUAUGUUUCUAGCUUUUCGUCCCUGCUGAACACAGCAAAAAGCUUAUUGCUUUAUUCUUGCAUCAGUCUUCCCUGUCUAAAGAAUAGGUACUGUAGCUCCAUCCUAAAACCUAGAGGUAAGCAAUCUCCAGCUAAGGCGACAGCGUAUUUCUGGUUCUGAAGUACUACUGGAGACUGAGCCUAUUCUGAGCGUAUUCACAAUUGUUGGAUUCCUGCAGAAGUAUUAGUUAGGAAUUAGGAGUGAAGGGAGAUCUAUAAUGCUAAUAACCUAGCUGAAAGAGCUUUUCUCUUAUGUUUCCCUCUUACUGUCAGCAUUUCUGCAGGACCUAUGUGAGAAACACCAUAACAGCCUUCUCCAUCUUCAUGUUCUCACAGUCUCUUCAGUUUCACCCAGGUAGAUGGUGUGUGCCUGACAUCGAAUCAUAGAAAAUCCUUGUUUGGAAGGGACCCAUAAGGAUAAUCAAGUCCAAAUGUUAUUGGCAAAAACUAAUUCUAACAUACACAUGUAAAUGCAUAUCUAUUUGUCAUGGACCAGACAGGUAAAUUUCUACAUAUUUGAACAUUAACAUAAUUUUAUUUGUCUCCCCCAAUUACAAUUGAAGCGCUGUGUUUUGUUUUAAAAAUGUGUUGCUUGAGCUUGUGUGAGCUCCUCCUAAGCUGUGCACUUUCUCCUUAAAUUAUGGAAUUAGGGGCCUCCUCUGAUCACUGACUGAAGCUGGUGCCUGAAAACCACUGAAUCUGAUGGUGACAGACAAGUGCGUCCAAUUCCUGGAAGCCAGCUGCUGGAUACCUCUGCUGAAAGCUCCAAUGCGCAUCCAUGCUGGUAUCCACUAGCAGCUUCCCCCCACCAUCAUCUUCCACACGCAAGGAGAGGUUUGCAGUCACAGGUUCAUGCCUCAAGUUUCAAGACAUUUCAUCAACAUGAUUAUUUAGCAUUGUCAUCCAUGGUCUUGGUUUGGUGAGGCCAGGACUACAUCAGAGCUGUUUUACUGAUAUCCACUGCUUAAAGUUUAAUACACCUCCAACUGAACAGACUUUCUUACUGCACCAGGAAGUGAGACUUGGUUGUGCUACCAUGUCAAGUUAUAAUUUGGCUCCUGAUAACCACUGCAUUUGGCAACAGUAUGGUGGUGCAGGAAUUCUCAUUGGUAUGAACAAUUCUGUUUCUCAUGUGAGGGGAAACUGCAGGAUUGGCAUCUAAUCCAUAGUAUCAAACAAUCUCCUUUUCACUCUAGGACAGUCCCAGAGGAACAUAUCCUACUUUGUCCAGGGUAUUUCCCCUAUAACUUUUAAUGGGGACCAAAGAGAAGAUGUUUCUAGAGCCUGGUUAUAUAUUUCUUCUUUGCUUGAGACAGCAGUUGCUGGAAUGCAUCUGUGUCCAAUCAGGGGUUCAUAAAAACAAUUCCUGAGUCUAUGCCCCUAAAUCAUCUGCCUGCUUUAUCUGAGGUGCCAAAGACCCAUUUCCUCAGCACAACAAUCCUUUUCUAGGUCUCAGCUCUCAGCUUGGAGAUACACUUUUGUACAAGAUAUAGUUGCAAAUCCUUCUUGCUUUUGCCUUGUCUGUAUCUAGUUAGAUUCAUACCUGUAGUGUAUCCAAGACAAGUGCCAGUGAAAGUCUUCUGAUGGUGGAGAAUCAAACGGGCAUUGGGGAAAACUCCUUCUGUUUAACAGGUAUCAGGCUCAGAAAGAAGACAUGGCAUCUAAGCAAACUAAGAAGGAAAGGGGCCUAUCUGAAUAUGUUUGCUUGAGUUGACACAAGAUAUAUUUGCUCCAUGGCAGAGAUGGCAAAGGUGUUUAAAACUCUUACAAGCCACCACUUUUUUCUGUGAAGCAGCAUCCUUCAAUGCAUGGAUAUGUGAGAUGGUACAUCUGUUCUGAUCAGAUGACUGAGAACAGAGAAAACAGCUGACUGAGCUGCUGCAUGUAUGUGCAUCUGUUCAUCUGCAGAUCUGCAGGCAGGAAUGCAAGAAAGCAAAUACUUGGCAGCAGAAAAACAUGUCCUUUUUCAUAAUCUGUCACAUCCAGACUGUCAAAGCAAGGCAAAAGAGAGUGUUCAGAGAUCACUCUGCUGACUCUAUUCUAAAGAGUCAGUUGAGGGAAGAGAACCAACAAGAAUGCCAAGGAAAGAGAAAAGAACUAGACAGAGAGAGCUACCUUUUUUCUAAAGCAUUUUGCCUAAUGAUAAUAAAAGAGAGAGGCCUUGGUCUUUACAUCAUCCGAAGGUCCGAGUUUCAAGGAAGAAACAGCUGCUCAUAGCUCAAAGGACAUAGCCAGCAGAGGAGAAUGGAGCACAGAGUAUUCAGAGAAGUAUUCCUAAGUAUUCAUAUACAGAGGGAAACAACAUUUCACUGUUAAAUGGGGCCCUUAAUUGCAUGAGAGGAAAUCAGGCAAAACAGACAAAUCCGUCAAGGAAAUAGUACUAGAAAAGCUAUGACGUGUGCUGGAAAUCAGCCUAGUGCUUCCACAGUUCUGAUCCAGUCCACCUUUGCACUCCCAUGUCAGGACAAGCCAGGCCUUUUGAGCCAGGCUAUUUUGUUGUUAAAUAACAGCUUCUGCCCACCUGGUAGGAGGCCUGCUGCCUGCUCACCUUUAAAAAGAAGAUUUGAGACAGCUAUUCAUCCAAGAAGACAGAACUGAAAUUUUUUCAUUUUCUUGUGAACAAGGAGGAAAAAGAGAGUUGAAGAAGGGACACACUACCAUGUCAUGAAAAACAUUAGAGAAGAGGCAGACUCUUUCAUCACUGACUCCUUGCUUCUCCCCUCCAGAUGGUGGGAUGUCUCAAGUGAAGACUGGCAGGGACAAAGUCGCGGUGGCAGUCUGGCA